rnacentral:rRNA from 1 species
CUACGGGCGGCACCAGUGAGGAAUCUUGCGCAAUGGGGGAAACCCUGACGCAGCGACGCCGCGUGGGUGAUGAAGGCCUUCGGGUCGUAAAGCCCUGUCGAGAGGGAAGAAUUGCAUUUAGGUUAAUAGCCUAAUUGUUUGACGGUACCUCCAAAGGAAGCACCGGCUAACUCCGUGCCAGCAGCCGCGGUAAUACGGAGGGUGCAGGCGUUGUUCGGAAUCACUGGGCGUAAAGGGCGUGUAGGCGGCUGGGUAAGUCAGGUGUGAAAUCCCUCGGCUCAACCGAGGAAGUGCAUUUGAUACUGCUCAUCUUGAGUACUGGAGAGGGAGAUGGAAUUCCCGGUGUAGAGGUGAAAUUCGUAGAUAUCGGGAGGAACACCAGUGGCGAAGGCGAUCUCCUGGACAGAUACUGACGCUAAGGCGCGAAAGCGUGGGGAGCAAACAGGAUUAGAUACCCUCGUAGUC